CGGGUGAAAUAUUGCUGCGCGCUCGUUUGAAUUUCUAUUUAUUUUUUGUGUGUGUGACGGCUGUGUGGGGAGACGAGGAGCCGAGCCUGUUGGCGCCACUUUCAAAUCCUCCACUGACACAGAAUGAGAGUCCGGCUCAAAUACAUUUUCCCACCAGCUUACUUCUCCUUUUAAUCAUUAAUAUAGGGUGAGGAAUAUCUUAACACAAUUUCACGUUUGGACCGUUUUUUCCCUGAAAGCAUCCAAAGUGAGGGGAGAAAGAUGGGCCUGGAGGUAACUGGUGUUCUUAGUGCCUCCAUCAGUUGCAAAUGAUCUCAGCAGCAGACGUCAGGUGUGGUGAUCACGGGCCAUGAAUCCUUCCUCUCCUGGCCUCAAAUGUUGUUUCAGCUUUGCAGUAGACAAAGGCAGCAGGUUUGGAGUCACAUUAUACAUCUAAUUUACACUGUAUCUAUUGCAUGUCAUUGUGGAAAAAACUGUUAAUUCAUUGACCAUUCUAAUUAGAUAAUUGAUACAUGUUUGGGCAACAACAAUUUGGUUUAAGUCUCUUAAAUAUGAGCAUUGAACUGUCUUAUAUCAUUCAAAAUUAAACAUGUUUGGAUUUUUGCCCACUGGUUCGACCAAACACGCAUUUAAAAACAUUGCUUUAGGAAUUCUGCAUUAUUUUGUUGAUAUCUUGAGAAUAAUUGAGUUAAUCAAGACAUGUGCAGAUGAAUUUCUAAUAUAACCAAAGGUUAGUUGCAGCCCAACUAAUGCUAUUUAUAGUCAAGUUUGAUGUUGAAAUGAGCUAUUCAUGUCAAACGAUAGAAAAUAUCACUAUUUUUAUUGAUGUCAUUUGUCAAGUAAAAAUGUUACAUUUGGCUAUGUCUGACAAAAAGUCAUUAUAUAAAUAAACAAACAUUGUUAUUUUUGUCUGUCCCUUAAACCAGAUAUGGUAGACUAGAUUUAUGUUUUUUUUUUAUAUAUUCCCUUUUAAAUUAUCCGACUUCAUUUGUCAAGUACUCUAAAGCAGACUCUGGAAUUUGAUCUAUUAACCAUUUCUCAAUUGAUUUCCCAGAAAUUGUAUGAUAUUACGAUAUACCUAUGAAAUGUAAAUAAAUUAAAAGAAUAUGAAA